CUUCUCAGCCUUUUGGCUAAGAGCAAGUGUAG
rnacentral:snRNA from 1 species